rnacentral:rRNA from 1 species
AUGUUCCUCAAGCAACUAGGAGCUUGUUAUCCACUGAUAAAUUGUCUAAUGACAACAAUGUUUGCGUUGAAAUUCACCACAUAUUUUCUUGUCGAGGAUCGGGUUUCGAGGAAGGUUCUUCUUCGAGGGGGCACUGAUGGGGGGCUUUAUCCCGUCACCGGUAGCCAUGGCAGGACACCGCAAGCCUUCUCCGCCGUCAAGCAAACACACACACGGUGGCACUACCGUCUAGGCCAUCCAGCUUCUCCGGUGGUAGAUCAAGCCCUUCAUCGCCAAAAUUUAGAAUUUCUUCGCGAUUCCAAUAAAAAUAAAAGCCCUGUUUGCGAUGCUUGUCAAUAG